rnacentral:tRNA from 1 species
GGAAGGGUAGCUCAAUAGGUAGAGCAGUGGUCUUCAAAACCAAUGGUUAAGGGUUCGAUUCCUUUCCCUUUCG